GGGGCUGAUUCUGGAUUCGACGGGAUUCGCGAAACCCAAGGUGCAUGCCGAGGUGCGGUGGCCUCGUAAAAAACCGCAAAAAAAAUAGUUGCAAACGACGAAAACUACGCACUAGCAGCUUAAUAACCUGCUUAGAGCCCUCUCUCCCUAGCCUCCGCUCUUAGGACGGGGAUCAAGAGAGGUCAAACCUAAAAGAGCUCGUGUGGAAACCUUGCCUGGGGUGGAAGCAUUAAAACUAAUCAGGAUAGUUUGUCAGUAGCGUGUCCAUCCGCAGCUGGCCGGCGAAUGUAAUGAUUGGACUAAGCAUGUAGUGCCGACGGUGUAGUAAUUUCGGACGGGGGUUCAAAUCCCCCCAGC
rnacentral:tmRNA from 1 species